AUUGAACGCUGGCGGCAGGCCUAACACAUGCAAGUCGAGCGGAUGAAGGGAGCUUGCUCCUGGAUUCAGCGGCGGACGGGUGAGUAAUGCCUAGGAAUCUGCCUGGUAGUGGGGGAUAACGUCCGGAAACGGGCGCUAAUACCGCAUACGUCCUGAGGGAGAAAGUGGGGGAUCUUCGGACCUCACGCUAUCAGAUGAGCCUAGGUCGGAUUAGCUAGUUGGUGGGGUAAAGGCCUACCAAGGCGACGAUCCGUAACUGGUCUGAGAGGAUGAUCAGUCACACUUGAACUGAGACACGGUACAGACUCCUACGGGAGGCAGAAGUGGGGAAUAUUGGGCAAUGGGCGAAAGCCUGAUCCAGCCAUGCCGCGUGUGUGAAGAAGGUCUUCGGAUUGUAAAGCACUUUAAGUUGGGAGGAAGGGCAGUAAGUUAAUACCUUGCUGUUUUGACGUUACCAACAGAAUAAGCACCGGCUAACUUCGUG
rnacentral:rRNA from 1 species